rnacentral:rRNA from 1 species
CCCUUAGAUGAUUUGGGCUGCACGCGCGCUACACUGACCCUAACAAUGAGCAACUGUCUGGCCUGAGAUGGCUGGGUAGCCUUUUCAACCCAUGUCAUGAUUGGGCUAGAUUUUUGUAAGUCUUGAUCUCUAACGAGGAAUCCCUAGUAUGCGUGAAUCAUCAAUCCAUGCAGAUUAUGUCCCUGCCCUUUGUACACACCGCCCGUCGCUCCUACUGAUUGGGUGAUCCGGUGAGCUGUUCGGCCAUAGCAAUGUUUCUUGAUCAGGGCAAUGAAUGUUUCGCAAACCUUGCCACUUAGAGGAAGGAGAAGUCGUAACA